CCGGUGACCGGCCACGUUCUGCGACUUGGACGAGUUUUCACUUUUUCAGAGUUCGGUUUCUUUUCGACGGUGUCUUAUUAGUCACGGACUACUCUAACUCAAAUAAUACUCGUUUUCUUGUGAAAUGUGAUUGUGGUGACGAUUCUCGGCUUUUAGUUGCAAUUUGUUUUAUUGCCACCAGUGCAUCAUUCGACCAAUUUGUACCUGCAAAAGGAUAGUCGUGAUCGAGCUCUCCUUUGGUUUUUAUUUUGAUCACAUCUCCUUGAUUUAGAUUACUCUUGAUUUAGAUGUCAAAAAUUUUAUUGGCCUUGAUUUUUGAGUUGAUUUGGAUUCACUUGAAAUAAUAUGAGUGCUUUUCAUUAAGUGAGUGUAGCAGGGUUAGCGGUUAGCAGUUAGUUUCAAGAGCCUGAUGUAAAGAAUGCAAAACUUCCGGUCAUUUGUGGUUUUGUGCUUAUUUCACAAACUUUGGAUCGUAUAAUCUCUUUCCAGGAAGAGUGUAAUUAACGUUUGAUUAUUCUGUUGGAAGGAAAUGCUUUGAUUACUUCAGAUCAAAAUGUCCAACACCAAGAAAUGCUCUAUCGAUGUAACACAAUCUGUGAAAUAAUAAGUGAAUUUGAGAUAUCCAUGCUGCCCUUCUAGUAUACAAGAUAUCCUAUGACUAACAAUGAUUUCAGAUGGACUAAUUGUCAUGUAAAUUUUACUAGAGCUGAAUUUUUUCUUUCUUUAUAUAGUUUUCAGCUCACAUGUUGAAAGAGAACAUGAAUCAACCAUGUUAUUUACUCUGGCCAUCUCCCUCAAAACAAAGCUGGUGUGACUGGCGCAACUGUUGGUACAGCUCUCACGCAGACACGCAGGCUGUUUUCAUCAACUACGCGUCACUAACCCCAGCGUGGACAUGUUUUACUUUUUCCAAACAAUGUUUCUACAAAUAACGCAUUGACAGAAAAAAAAGUCUAUGGAAACAUAAUCAAGGCCAUGAGUAAUCUUCAUGUUUAUAUUGCAGCAACUUUGGGGAAGUCACAUGAAAAGAUGCAGAGUAGCCUACAUUCUGUAUCUUUUACUCAAGCAGUAGAUAGAAAAUAACUUUAGUUCAUUGCAUUAAUGUUGGAAUAUUUAUUGUCAUUUUAUUUCCUUUAGAUUCAACAUGACUGUCUGUUGCCAAAGCUACUUAUUAUCUUAUCGCUUUGUUUGACCGACUGAGGAAUCUUUACGAAUCCGUGCAUUGUAGUAGUACUAAUAAUGCUAGUGUUUGGCAAUUUUAAUUAAUAGUUGGUCACACCGUUUUCGGUUGUAAACUUAACAACAAUUAAAGCUUUGUUGUCGAAACAGAAACUGACAGCUACCACCCAAAAUUUUCUUGAAGUAGAAUCGAUAAAAUUUUUUAGAGAUGUGCAAAUUAAGCGUAACUAAACUUAUUCUGACAGUUAAAAAUGACCAAAGUCUAUGCCUUCUAGCGCCACUGCGCCAGAAAAAAGAAACGUUUAACAGUAACAUGAAAAAAAUGUCCGCUCUAGCUCGUUGACACCAUCAUGGUUGACACUUAAUUGAAAGAAAAGAACUAACAAACAAAGGCUUUGAUACUCACAUAAUAUUCUCCCCUUCAAAUUUGUAUCUCGUCUUCACCCAAAAAUGAAAAAUCCACACCGCAGCAUCACAGCACAUCACAACAGACGAAAUCCCCAAGAUUGUUUACGAAAUAUCGUCUUCUGCUACCUCUACGUAUCACCCUUUUAGCUUUAUUCCUGUCAUUCUGCACUGAGCCUUACCUAUGAUAAAUCUGAGAACAGCAGUUCACGUACCAACAUAACACGCUUUUGAUCAAGACUGACCCUCAGUCAGGCCAGUUGCCAGGUCUUUCCAUCCAGCUUAUGUCCUGCUGCCCAUGCAUCAGGGCUGGGUUGUUCCGGGGGCAACACCAUCGGGUAAAUUUGCCAAUGCAGAGUUGAUGAAGAUCCCCAACUUUCUUCACUUGACACCACCCACUAUUAAGAGACAAUGCCAAGCAUUGAAAAAGUUCUGCACAGAGUGCCGUAAGAGUUGGAUAUCAACGAAAAGAUUGAAAAUCAUUUACCCAUCACAAUCACAACAAGUGAUUACCUCAAUUCUUUCCCCUCAUUGAUGAGUGAUGCCCGAGCCAGAAUUGUAACACUCCAGGUGAAAUUGAGCUCUUUGAAAAUUGGACAGCCAUGCCAAGGAUAAAUUCUUCUUUUUCCUGUACUGGUUGUACAUUUUGUAAGAAACACUUCAGAACUAUUCAGGAUUAUCAGUCAGGUAAAAGUAUGAGCUUCUUUGUUGCUGCCCAACAUACACAUGGAUUUGAUGCAGCCAGCUGAGGGCUUUAACUCUUUGUUUUAUGUUCGCGUAGUUGUUGUCCGCUGUGGUACGUUGUUGAAGCCUAUGCUGGUGAAAGAUCUUUCUACAUCAAGUUCAAUUGGCCGUUCCUUGGUGCUGAUGUUGUGUUACCGAAGUUGCAUUAUUAUUUUAUGAAAUUGCCAUUAUGUCAAUGUAGUUUACCGUUAAUAUUUUUAGAAGGAACAAAAAAGAAAUAUGGGGGUGUUUAUGUCAAACAUGUGAUAAACAUUUUCGGGAUUGGGAAAGGAAAGUGGAGGAUGUUGGAGUGGGGGGAUAUUUAAAGUUUGGAUGAAAAACAGUUAAUUUUUAACCCUGCAAUCAUAUCACUACCAAUUUAUUUCCAAACCUCAUAAACUUAUACCUUCCAAUUCUUCACACCCCACAAACAUACACCUAUCAACCCUCAAAUUUAUACCGAAACCAAAUGAACCAACGUUACACUUGAAACAUGUAAUAUUUGUAAAAAAAUAAAUAAAUAUAUUAUUAAACUCA